UCUAGUGGCGAUAGCGAAGAGGUCACACUCGUUCCCAUGCCGAACACGAUCGUUAAGCUCUUCAGCGCCGAUGGUAGUUGGG
rnacentral:rRNA from 1 species